GGAUAACCCCGGGAAACUGGGGAUAAUACCGGAUGGAUCACUUAUGCUGGAAUGCUUGGUGGUCGAAAGGUGACGCCCUUGGAUGGGUCUGCGGCGGAUUAGGUUGACGCCGGUGUAACGUACCGGCGUGCCUGUAAUCCGUACGGGUUGUGGGAGCAAGAGCCCGGAGAUGGAUUCUGAGACACGAAUCCAGGCCCUACGGGGCGCAGCAGGCGCGAAAACUCUACAAUGCAGGCAACUGCGAUAGGGGGACAUCGAGUGGCAUCCACCUUGGGUGCCUGUCCCACCGUCUAAAAAACGGUGGUUAGCAAGGGCCGGGCAAGACCGGUGCCAGCCGCCGCGGUAAUACCGGCGGCUCGAGUGGUGGCCGAUAUUAUUGAGUCUAAAGGGUCCGUAGCCGGCUUUGCAAGUCCCCUGGGAAAUCCAGCGGCUUAACCGUUGGGCUUUCAUGGGAUACUACAUUGCUUGGGACUGGGAGAGGUAGGAGGUACUCGGGGGGUAGGGGUGAAAUCCUGUAAUCCCCCGGGGACCACCGGUGGCGAAGGCGUCCUACCAGAACAGGUCCGACGGUGAGGGACGAAAGCUAGGGGCACGAACCGGAUUAGAUACCCGGGUAGUCCUAGCCGUAAACGAUGCCCGCUAGGUGUCACGGCGGUCGUGAAUCGCCGUGGUGCCGUAGGGAAACCGCGAAGCGGGCCACUUGCGAAGUACGGCCGACAGGC
rnacentral:rRNA from 1 species